GGGGUAUUUUAAAAGCAGUUAUUAAGUUUUUUUCUUUAAAGCUUUUGAACUUAAUAACACUUUAAGUUAACCUUGUAAACAUUAUUAAGUUUACCUUUCAAAGAUCAAAGAACAAUUAUUAAAACCUUUUUGAUCAGAUAACUAAUAAACUAACUAACUAAAUCAUUGAUGCAUAAUUAACUGCAUCAAUGAUUUUUUUUAUUAUUUUUACUGCAAAAAAUGCAGAUUUAUCUGUUCAAACCAAUGAUUUAAAAAGGCUUUUUUUAUUAUUAAUCAUUCGUUAUUUUUUUACUUGUGAUUUUAGCUUUAAUGCUUAUAAAAAAAUCCAAUGAUAAAAGUUUUUUUAGAAAAGUGUUGUGCAAACUGAUUUGUUGUGCUAUAAUCUUUAAGGCUUAUAUAGCUACAUUGUUCUUUGAAAACUGAAUACGACAAAUCUUUCUAGUCCGAAAUUUGAUUAAAGUAUCAAAUCAAAUUUCAUAUAAUAUAGAUUCAAUAAAAAUAGCUAAUGGAUCAAAUACAUAAGUUACUAAGGGCUUAU
rnacentral:misc_RNA from 1 species